AUUGAACGCUAGCGGGAUGCUUUACACAUGCAAGUCGAACGGCAGCGCGGACUUCGGUCUGGCGGCGAGUGGCGAACGGGUGAGUAAUGUAUCGGAACGUGCCCAGUAGCGGGGGAUAACUACGCGAAAGCGUAGCUAAUACCGCAUACGCCCUACGGGGGAAAGCAGGGGAUCGUAAGACCUCGCACUAUUGGAGCGGCCGAUAUCGGAUUAGCUAGUUGGUGAGGUAACGGCUCACCAAGGCGACGAUCCGUAGCUGGUUUGAGAGGACGACCAGCCACACUGGGACUGAGACACGGCCCAGACUCCUACGGGAGGCAGCAGUGGGGAAUUUUGGACAAUGGGGGCAACCCUGAUCCAGCCAUCCCGCGUGUGCGAUGAAGGCCUUCGGGUUGUAAAGCACUUUUGGCAGGAAAGAAACGUCGCGGGCUAAUACCCCGUGGAACUGACGGUACCUGCAGAAUAAGCACCGGCUAACUACGUG
rnacentral:rRNA from 1 species